CCUACGGGGCGCAGCAGUCGGGAAUAUUGCGCAAUGGAGGAAACUCUGACGCAGUGACGCCGCGUAUAGGAAGAAGGUUUUCGGAUUGUAAACUAUUGUCGUGAGGGAAGAAAUUGACAGUACCUCAGGAGGAAGCUCCGGCUAACUAUGUGCCAGCAGCCGCGGUAAUACAUAGGGAGCAAGCGUUAUCCGGAUUUACUGGGUGUAAAGGGCGUGUAGCCGGGCUGACAAGUCAGAUGUGAAAUCCGGGGGCUCAACCCCCGAACUGCAUUUGAAACUGUUGGUCUUGAGUAUCGGAGAGGCAG
rnacentral:rRNA from 1 species